rnacentral:rRNA from 1 species
AUUGAACGCUGGCGGCAGGCCUAACACAUGCAAGUCGAGCGAGCGGCGGACGGGUGAGUAAUGUCUGGGAAACUGCCUGAUGGAGGGGGAUAACUACUGGAAACGGUAGCUAAUACCGCAUACCAUCAGAUGUGCCCAGGUGGGAUUAGCUAGUAGGUGGGGUAACGGCGAACCUCGGCGACGAUCCCUAGCUGGGCUGAGAGGAUGACCAGCAACACUGGAACUGAGACACGGGCCAGACUCCUACGGGAGGAAGGAGUGGGGAAUAGUGGACAAGGGGCGCAAGCCUGAUGCAGCCAUGCCGCGUGUGUGAAGAAGGCCUUCGGGUUGUAAAGCACUUUCAGCGGGGAGGCGUUACCCGCAGAAGAAGCACCGGCUAACUCCGUGCCAGCAGCCGCGGUAAUAC